AGCAGCCGCGGUAAUUCCAGCUCCAAUAGCGUAUAUUAAAGUUGUUGCAGUUAAAAAGCUCGUAGUUGAAUUUCGGGAUCAAUAUUUCGGUCAUGCCGUUGGUAUGCACUGUUAUCAUUGAUUUCUCACCUUCUAAAGAACCGUAAUGCCAUUAAUUUGGUGUUACGGGGAAUUAGGACUGUUACCUUGAAAAAUUAGAGUGUUUAAAGCAGGCUCACGCUUGAAUACAUUAGCAUGGAAUAAUGAAAUAGGACAUCCGAUUCUAUUUUGUUGGUUUCUAGGAUCGAUGUAAUGAUUAAUAGGGAUAGUUGGGGGCAUUAGUAUUCAAUUGUCAGAGGUGAAAUUCUUGGAUUUAUUGAAGACUAACUACUGCGAAAGCAUUUGCCAAGGAUGUUUUCAUUAAUCAAGAACGAAAGUUAGGGGAUCGAAGACGAUCAGAUACCGUCGUAG
rnacentral:rRNA from 2 species